GAUUCGAUCGGGCGAGAUUAAAGUAGUUGUUUGUCACGCUAUUUUUGUGCUCCAACACGAUUGAAGACCUAUUUUGACGAGAAAUCGUCUUCGUCCUCGCCGUCGUCGUCGUUGGCGUUGGCGUCAUUUUCGUUCGUUCGUGGGACCGACUUGUUUGUUUCACGGUUGGCUGUUUGCCUGGCCCGUCGCCGGCUAACGUCACCCCGAUCGUCGCCAGAUGAUGUGCAAUGCUGAUUUCACCCGAUGCUGAUAAGCAAACAAGAUGGGCAGUUUAAAAGGUUCCUAAAGGUCUCGUUUAAAACAACAACCCAACUGGACGGGAAGGGAGGGUAGCAAACACUCUAACACUGCAAGACACUUCUGGUUCCUGUUCUGAUAUGCUUCGGUGCUAAAAUCUGUUUCCUUCCCGAAAAUGUACUCACCAAUAUAAAGCCUGCCCGGUCGGGAAUAACAUCCUUCGGAGCGUUCGUUCAGCCUCAGCCGGAUGUGAGCGGAAAACGCAAGCUCCCUGCAUUGCGUUGCAAGUAACAACUUUAGAGCCUAUUAAAGUCAUGUCAAAUAUCUUCCCCUGGGUCGUCUCUCACUCCAGGAAGUUUUCAAGACUGUAAGAAAGAAGAAUCCUGCCGUUGUCAUCGGCACCAUUUUCCCUGGGUUUCCUGGGAGGAUGACCCAGAGCAG